rnacentral:rRNA from 1 species
UACGUAGGUGGCAAGCGUUGUCCGGAUUUAUUGGGUUUAAAGGGUGCGUAGGCGGCUUUGUAAGUCAGUGGUGAAAUACGGUAGCUUAACUAUCGAGGUGCCAUUGAUACUGCAGAGCUUGAGUACAGAUGAGGUAGGCGGAAUUGACGGUGUAGCGGUGAAAUGCUUAGAUAUCGUCAAGAACACCUAUAGCGAAGGCAGCUUACUAGGCUGUAACUGACGCUGAGGCACGAAAGCGUGGGGAGCGAACAGG